CUGGCACAGGGUCCCCUAGGCAGCUCUCUUGGCCUUGUAGUCGUCUUCCCCGUGCAGAGGGCACAGCUGGAGAAAGGCUCCAGAGAGGACCUCUGGAGUGUGUCAGGAGGUCACCCCUGCCCAGCCGGCUGCGGAGGAGUAAGGGCAGUGACGGUGCACUUAAUAACAUGGGAGCAAGGGGAGUGGUUGAUGCAUAGUUCUUAGAAACUGUGGAGCAAGGAGGGCAGCCACUCUCAAAGAGAGUCUAACCUAGUGGUGCCGGAAGGACAGAGCAGAGCACAUCCUGAUGCUCUGGAAGAAAAAAGGAGCAUCCUUGCAAAUAAACUGGGAGCCUCCAAGGGCUCAGGAAGGCAGGCCCAGAGCGGCAGCAAGGAGGUGGCAGACAGAAGGACUAGGACUGGAAGGCAUGGCUGGAGCUUUGCAGGAAAAUAGAGGGAUGUGAGCCUGGGUCUCCGGAUUUAAAACAUGUGGCAUUCGACUCUAGACAUGCUGGCUCCCUGAGGACACCAUCCUUUGACACCUCCUCCCGCUUUCACAGACGUCCUUCCUACCUGCUGCCUGAUAAAAGGCUCAGACAGCUCAGCUGUCCAUUUCCCCGGUGAGAUAGGACCUGGUGAAUGAGAUUGAGGUCAGAGGCAAGACAUCCCCUCAACACUGCCCAUGCGCUUGGAGCAGGCGCGAUGGCAAGCACCUUCUUGAGCAAUACAGACCUGUUAUUUUGAGCAGAACACUUAGGGAGAAAGAGAUCAGAGAAAUCUCCUACCCGAGGUAUCAUUUUCUUCCCGCUUGUGCAGAGCAUGAGGCUGGGGAGGCAGUGCAGUUGUAAACUUCAGCGUGCCCCCAUGUAAUAGGAAAUGUGUUUGAUGGGCCUGGGGAGGGGCAGACCCCAGGAGGACCGUGGCAGCCCUUCCUGUUAAAGGCGAGCCCAGCGUUGUCCUAGUGCAGGGACAGCUCAGUGUUUUCCCUCUGCCUUUUGCCUACUUUUGCAGCCGCUGAGCGGCCAGAGAAAGAGCAAGCUGAGCGGCCAUCAGAGGGUCUAAUAAACUAGUGGAAGGCAAAAGAGAAAGAGCUGGCAUGGGGCAUGUAUACCAAUGGGAGAGACGCAAGCACGUUACAAUGACGGGGAACAGCAAGCUGUCUGAGUAAAAGCAAAGCCAGCAUUUUCUCCAACUUUGCCCUCCUUCAUCAACAAGCUACUUGUCCCUGAAAAAAUUCCCAGUGCCCUCCAGUUGCCUCCUGGAUGCAAGUGCGCUUCAGUACAAAAAGUCUGAACCAGGAGAGCUGAUCACCGGAGAGGAGGCAAAGGAUGCUGUUUGCUGGAUAAUUUCGUGCCUGUUUGCCUUCCUCUUAUUUCUUUUUUCUUUGAUCUAUAAGCAUCAAUUGUUCCAAGGUGGGUAAAAUGCUUUCUGCUUUUGAUUGGAUUUAAGAUAUACACCUGGUAUAACUUAAAAGUACCCAUAUCUCUUCGGUGACAAAGAACUUGAAAGUUUGCAUAGAAAAGAAUUUAGGAUUCAGGACUGCAACGGAAGACAAGGAAUUUGGGCUCUGCUUCUAACUCCAUGACUAGCAUCCUAAAAUCUGUAUCUUUCCCUCGGGCUAUGAAUUUAUGUCAAUACUGGGCUCAAGCUCAUGUCUGCAAAUAAGCAAUAAUUCAUAAUCUAUCCACUAAAUAGGGUUAUACAUGUUUGUAGCAAACUAGAAUAGUCUCCCUGGCUCAACUAUGCCUCUUUAGAAUUUUCUCACAUUCAUAAACAAGAGGUUGUGAAUUAUAUAAGCCUCACUAUUAAUAGUAGGAGCCAAGGCUCACUCAAUAUUUUUAACAGAUAAUCAUUCUUUGCAGGAAGUACUAAAGUGCAAUAUUUCUCAAUUUAGCCUCGGUGGAUACAUUCCCAGGGAUCAGAAUGCUUACAAAUGCAUUUUU